UCGCACCUACCGAUUGGAUGGUCCGGUGAAGCCUCGGGAUUGUGACCAGUGCCUUUAUUGGUGUUGGUCGCCGAGAACUUGUCCAAACCUUAUCAUUUAGAGGAAGGUG
rnacentral:rRNA from 1 species